AAGACAAUCAAGCAAUUAAUUCGGUUUGCAAUGAAAGUGGGCACACAAAAGGAUCUUAGAAUAGCUCUAGAACAGAUUCACAAAGCAAUAAAAGACACACAUGCUGCAGUAUACGAGUUUUACAUGAAUUCUCCAAAAUUGGCAAAGUGUUUGAUGAAAUGUCUCAAAGAAAACUGCAUAUGGAUGUUUCUGCUGUUACUGAAUUGUUAGCUACUGGAUUGCGGGAGUUUCAAGCUUCUUUUAGAUGUUAAUUUUCAAUCUCAAUGGUUAGGAGAAACAUAGAUACUUUGCUCCCAGCUUUUGCCAAUCCACUCACUCAAAAUCAAAACUCAAUUUUAAGUGUAUUUUCAAACUGUCUGCACAAAGCUAUUGGCUGGAAAAAUUUUAAACUGAUGCUUAACUUUAUGAAAUAGGAUGUAUGAUGGUUUCCAGCAAAUUUAUAUGAUGAUAAUGGAUAGAUGCAGGCAGCUAAGUAUUCACAGAACAAACUACAGCAGAAUUUGGCUAUGACACUUCCCAAAAGUGACCAAAAAUGAGGUAUUCAAGCAUGGACUGUAAGCCAAUCUGAGAAUUGACCAUAUGAACAGUAACAGACCAGUUUUGAUGCACUUUUAACAGAUGUUUAGCUCAUCAAAUUAGCCUAAAACAGUUGUUUAAGAAAAUUGGCUAUGCUACUAAAUGAAUUCAAGCCAAAUGAGGAAGUGAUAUAGUGAAUUUGUGCAUUGGUGUAGAUCUGACCAUAAAAUCAGUUUGGACACAUUCUAAAUGAUCAUACAAAGUGGUUCUGAGGUUCCAAAUGCACAAAAACCAGCAGAUAUGUAAAUUCACCCCUCCACUUGCCAAUUAUGCAGAAAACAACGUGUAAAACUACAGCAGUUCAAAUAAAUUCAUGCGUUACUGGAUUCAAAUGGUUUAAGCACAAGAAAUUAAGAGGAAUUUGAUUUAGAUCUAGCUCUAGGAAAUUAAGCUAGCAGAGUUGAUUCAAUCCUACUGGAAAGGCCAUGACAGAACACGGUGCAGAGUUCAGAAAACAGCAAAGUUCAUAACAGCUUUUGCUGCAGCAACUCAAAUCUGAUUUUAAUGAUUCAAUGAUGUAACUGGUUUGUAUAUACUUGGAUCAAGUUGAAAAUCAUGAAUUAAACUUGCAGCAAACGUCACACAUUACAGAUCUGGCCAGAUUAAAAAAAUUUGAAAUCAUUUCCAGAUUUGGAAAAUAAAAUCUGACGCAAAUCUUUUACCACAAACAGCAGAUCAGAAAUUUGGCUUUCAAUGCUAAGCUCAUGUGAUCAAAGCUAGACAAUGUCUUGUUGCCUUUAAGAUCCAUAGAGAGCUAUCACUACACUGGACUCACUGAACACACACUCACUGAUUAAACACAAAAUUAUAACAGAUGUAAAACGGCAAUGUGCACAUGACAGUAACAAAACUGGAAAAUGAAGAUGAAGCUGAAUAGAAUGAAAAGAAACACAAUAUGCACCGAUUAAAAUGUGGAGAAAACACUAAGGAACAUGUGAAUGAUCACCAAAGACUCACUCACACAGAUUUAUCAAAGAAAAACUCAAUGAAACAGUGAAUUUAGGAAUAGAACAGCACAACACGGAUGAAGGCAAUGUAACAGUGACUUAUCUGAAAUGUGGAUCAGCAACAAGGCUCUGAAUACCACUUGAUAAGCCUCUCCAUUGCUUGAUUGAAGACUGGACCUGAGAAGGAAGGAGUUCCAGCAGGUGGCAGCGGAAGUUGAUGGAAUCAGGGUGGAUGUNNNNNNNNNNNNNNNNNNNNNNNNNNNNNNNNNNNNNNNNNNNNNNNNNNNNNNNNNNNNNNNNNNNNNNNNNNNNNNNNNNNNNNNNNNNNNNNNNNNNNNNNNNNNNNNNNNNNNNNNNNNNNNNNNNNNNNNNNNNNNNNNNNNNNNNNNNNNNNNNNNNNNNNNNNNNNNNNNNNNNNNNNNNNNNNNNNNNNNNNNNNNNNNNNNNNNNNNNNNNNNNNNNNNNNNNNNNNNNNNNNNNNNNNNNNNNNNNNNNNNNNNNNNNNNNNNNNNNNNNNNNNNNNNNNNNNNNNNNNNNNNNNNNNNNNNNNNNNNNNNNNNNNNNNNNNNNNNNNNNNNNNNNNNNNNNNNNNNNNNNNNNNNNNNNNNNNNNNNNNNNNNNNNNNNNNNNNNNNNNNNNNNNNNNNNNNNNNNNNNNNNNNNNNNNNNNNNNNNNNNNNNNNNNNNGUGAGGGAAAGUUUCUAAUGAAGCCCCAUAUCUUGAUAAGAACACCUCCCCUUUUGGUAGCAAUGACCAUCUUACCCUUCUCCAUGUUUUGGUACAUUUGGAGCCUUUCCUUGGUCUCCAAUCUUCCAUCCAAAAAUAGCAAAUAGUAUUUGACCUUGGGGAGAAUACUCAUCUUGGAGUUUUUUGACCAUCCCUCUUGUGAUAGGUCCUAUGGUGCUAGGCCUUCUUGUAUCACUAGGUCAUCUGAGUCUAUUUAUGAUGGAAUCCUAAUUAGGGAAACCACUCAAAGGAGCAACAACUCAAGCUAAGACUAAGAAAGGGAAGUUCAAGAAAGACUUUCUAAAGCUUUCUUGAGUUUCUUUCUCUAAAGUCUUAGAAGGAUUAUAUUUUAAAACAUGUUUACUUUGUUUUGUAGGGCCUAAAUAAAGCUUGGACAUCAUGAAUUAUCCAACCAAAGACUCCUUGGAAAGCAAAAGAAGAAUGGUUGACUUUCGAAUGGUUGACUUUGGGAUUGGAAUUGGAUGCAUAUUGGAUCUGGAUCAGGUUUUGGCCCAGCCAAAACCCUUUUCCCGCCCAGCCACACGGAAGAAGCAUGCUUCCCAUGAGUCUUUGCUGAUCUGUUUUGAAGCAAGGCACACAUGCACCUGCCAGCUAGCUUUUUGGUCUGAAUUACAUUUGCUUUUGGAGGGAAAUUGGGUCAGAUUAAGGGCUCCUCUUCUUCUAUAAAUAAGAGGGCCAUUACCUUGUAAAAACAACUUUAGAGCUUGAAUGUUAUGCUGCAGAAAUGAAUUUCCAGCUUUCCUUGCUCUUGAGUCACCUAUUCUCUUCACUUUCUCUACCCUUUCCUCUAGCUUCCUUCCAUAGUGGGAAGACCUUAUGAGCUGAGAGGAUAUUCCAAACACUUCCACCAUUACCGGAACAUCAAACUCCACUGCAUCCAUCCAGAUCCACUGCAUCAAAACUCUUGUCCGCUGCAUCUCUCUGUUUUUCAACUUGCUUGUUGUUUGGAGUUACUUCACUUGAUUCCAGACCUUAGCAAGUUUCUAUCAAUUUAUAAUACAAAAAAAUAACAGAAUUUCAACCUAGGCCCAAUAGUUAGGCGUUCAACGCUCACUGCACCACUCAGCGGUGGGCUUCAGUGUCGUAGGACGCUCAGCGGUCUCGCUCAGGUGUUUGACAGUGCUGAUUUCUCAUGGGUCAGUGCUCAACGGUGAAUCCUGACGCUUAGCGGUGGGCGAUUCAUUAGACACUUCAGUAUUGACACAUUACAUUCACCAUGUUGCUUAUGCGAUAUGGCAGGGUCAGGUAAGUGCAUAACUUUAAUUUGAAUGAUUAUUGUUUAGUUGAAAUAAUUUGAUAUUAAAUAUUAUUGUUUAAGAACGGGAGGAGAUCAAGUUGAUCUCCCAUGGGAAGAAGUUAAACAUAUUAGGGUUCACGAGGGCAUUAGAGACAUUGUUAAUGGUUCUGGUUUGAUGUCUCUGGUGGGCAUCUGUUAAACUGAUUUUUGUCACCUAAAAUCAUAACAAACUAAGUUUCCCCACUAAUGUAGUAAAGGGACAACCUAGGUAUCAAUCCAAGGACUUAACUAUGAUUAAGUCUAAAGUGUAUGGUUAAAAUCUUGUAAUUAUUUAUUUACUAACUACUAACUAAUUGACAAAGUGGGAAAAAGAAAUUAAACAAAGAAAUUAAAAAGAAAUUAAUAAAGAAAUCAAAUGAAAAUAAAUCUGUAAAAAAAAAAGCAAAAUAAAACGUAAGCUAAACUAUAAUCUAUGUAAGUCUAAACAGUAACUAAACUAACCUAUAAGUGCUAUGAAACAAUGAUAACAAAAGACUUGAAAUAAACUGGAUAUGAAAACAAGAAAAUGAAAGAUAUAUACACAUAACAGAGCCAAAUGAAAGAAAGGAAAAUUUCACUAAAACUAGAUUCAACAAAUCAGCUCAUAAUGCAAAAUUAAAUGGUAAAAGAUAAAAGACAUACAAGCAUGGAAAUUGGGGUCAAAUCACGGACACAUGAUAAUAGCAAUUCAGCAAAUCUAUACAAGACUAAAGUGAAACAACAAAAUGAUAGUAUCAAAAUUAGAACCACAAAUGUAAACAUAUUGCAGAAUCCUAAGCUUGCAAAGAAAUUAAAUAAACAUCAAAGAUUAAAGCUAACCUAAUUCAGAAAACAUCAGAAAACAAAUGAUAACAGAAUCUAGAAUUGAAACAAAGUAAAAUCAAUAACUACAUUCUAACUAAUCAAAUCUAAGAUAGUAAUCUCAAAAGCAGAAUUGAAUUCAUAGGUGAAAUGCUCAUUGGAUUGAAUAAAAGAGUGUUACGAAUUCUCAAGAAGACAUCCUGUGAAGUUGAAUCCCAAUCCAGGGUAUUCUAGGUCAUAUUUCAGAACCUAAUUUGAUUCUUUUCCACUAAUUUUUUCAACCAAUGUCCAUUUGCCUAUUCAUCAAUCAAUCUAAAGUUAACAACCUAAAAUCAUAUCUAAUUCAACGGAAAACAUAACGAAAUCAUGGAAUCCACAAUAGAAUCUAAAGCAAGAACAACAAAAGGAAUCAAAAUUGCAUUGAAACUUGAAGAUAAAAGUACAUGAUACCGGAAAUCACCGAAAAUCAUGGCCUGUCACCCUCGCAACUCCGUGAAAUCCAGAAUCGAAGAACAAAAUAUCUAUAAACUAAGGAAAGCGUGAUAAACCCUAUCUACUUUGAAAGCAAAUGCAAAACCUACACUACUAGCUCACUCGCGAUCUCAGAACAUCUGUGGAGUCUGUCACCCUCCACUCUCUCUCGAAUCGUCUCUCACUCGUUCACGGAGUCUGUCACCCUCUCGCGAUUCUUCCACAAAAAUCUAUUCACAUGCCCUUUUAUAGGGCUAGAACCAGAACAGAGAAAGAAAAAGGGGAAAAAAGGAUGGGGAACCUUCGACACUUCACUCUUUUCUUCAAUCGGACGGUCUUCAUUCGCUUUACUUAUGAGCUUGCAUCUAAACCCUUUGAUCAUUUCAGCAUCCUUGUCGGUUCAAGCUCCGAUCAUCUUCUAUUAAGUGACACUUGAGCAUUUGAAAGCUUUCUUCCUCUCACACGAGCAAGCCCUAGCUUUGGUUCCUUUCUCUCAAUUUGAAAAUGAAUGUGCGUGUAGAUUGUUUGUCUCAAGUGAGUUGUGCGAACCAAGACCCCCUGCAACUACUGCCACUCUUCAAAACGCACCGCAUCACUUGAGUCCAAUUAUGGACUUCGGUCCAAUUUCAAGUGCCCAAAGUCUAAACAAGCAGCAGCAGUGUUCCAGGCUUAAUUUGUGAAAUUAAAUCAACCUCUACAGUGGCCCAAUUCAACAGCAACAUCAGCACAACAAAUAUGCCACCCCAAUUUCGAAAGCAGCUGCCCAAAGCUUCUCAAUUGACUCAGUCUUUUAGCUCAACAGAUUCAGACACAGCCCAAUGCUAUUUCAAGGCAAUAGCGGCCCAAUUAACACUCUUAACCUAGGUGCAUUGGCAGCAGCUUGGCUUUUCCAACAACAAUCACAACCCAAUUAAUUGUACCUGCACCAAAGAAAAAAAAUCAAUCCAAUUUCUUCCUUUCAAUUCAGCAUUUAACUAGUGGCCCAAUCUAAAAAAAAAAUAUAGGAAUCAAUCAACAAAUAAGAGAAAGAAAAAAUUAUGCAAUUAAAAUCUAAUUAAAACAAGAACAUUUUUAUUAAAAGUUUUUCUAAAAAAAAUUAAAUUCCUAAUUAUUUACCAAUAUAAAAAAAUACUACUGAAAACCUAUUUUUAACUACAAUUUUACUAAUCUACAAAUUUAAAGAAAAAUCCAAAAACUAUCCUAAUUCUAAGCAUUUAGAAACUAAAGAACCUUAAGAAAAGAUUUUUAGCAAAGAAAAAUAUGUAAAAAUAAGGAGUUAUCAGCAUCUCCUAUUACUAUGUCGAUAGGGGUCUACUGCUGGCAUUUGUAGAGAGAUUUCAUUUUGAGACCGACAGUUUCCAUCUCCCCAUCGGUGAGAUGACCGUGACUUUAGAUAAUGUGUCAUCGUUGCUGCACCUCCCAGUGUUAGGCCAAUUAUGUCAUCUAGAGGAUGUAGAUUUUGAAGAAAGUAGACACGCCAUUAUGGAGCUUUUAGGCGUGGAUGACGGGAGAGCUGGUGUUGAGUUAAAUGCAGCUCAUGGUGCCAAAGUUAGAUUAAGUUGGGUUCGAGACAUCUACGUUGAGCAUUGUGAGCAAAAACAAUGGGAGUACGUUGUCCGGGCAUACUUGUUGCAUCUAGUUGGAUGCAGUAUAUUUGCUGUAAAGAUUGGCACAUCCAUUCGCGUGUCUAAUCUUUUGCUCUUUAGAGACGUACAUGCAUGUGGUUGAUAUGUCUGGGGCGUUUCUGCACUAGCAUAUAUGUAUGCAGGUAGGAGAUGCUAGUUUGGCUUCAAGCAGACAGAUGGCAGGUUAUUUGACUCCAUUACAGGUACAAAUUUAGUUUACAAUUUGAUUUGGUUGAAUAUUUUCGCUGUGGAUUCUGAAAUAAUUUGUAAUUUUCUAUUUUGUAGAGUUGGAUAUAUGAGCAAUUCCCUACAUUGGGAAGAAGGCGUCUGGUGAUAUUAUUAAACUUUUAUAUAAAUUAAUAAACAUUUGUCGGAUUUUCACAUCCAAAUAGAUGAUCAUCGGAAAUCCACAUCCGAUACUUUCAGUUUAAGUAUUUUUUAUCCAAUAUUAGUUUUAUUCAUUUUAAUAUAAUCAUAAAAUUAUUUUUUAUUAAUUAAAAAUUACAAAAUAUAUUAUAAACUAAUACAUAAAAUUAAAAAAAAUUAAACUAAUAUAAGAAGUAUUAAAAAAAAAUUAAAUUAAUAUAAAAAGUAUGUAAUGUAAACGUGCAGAAUAAAUAUAUUAAAAUUGUGUAUCGGAUAUCCACAUCCAAAGGUUCGUAAAUCGAAUAUCCACAUCCGAUCCACACAUCGGCUCUCAGUUUCAGUUUUUCAUUUCAUGGAAACAUAUUAACCAAAAUAAAAUACCUCUCCUCCAUGAAUAUCAAUCCAACCAAGAAGAUGCAAUGAGAUUUACAAAAAUAAAUAUUAACAAUCCAUCAAUGUCAAUCCAACCAACAAAAUGCAAACAGAUUUAAAAAUAAAUACUAACCUCCUUCUUCGAAGACAAACAAUGAGCUAAUACGAAGAACCCCAAUACAACACCACAACGCAAGUGAAGCACUCCAACUUACACUCAACAAUCCUUCUCAAAUAUAUAUAAACAACACACACUCACAAACGCAAAGUACAAAACCUUAAGAAGAAAAAUAUUAUCAAAGAGUUGCAUUUCAAAGGUGCAUGGGUGUAAGGUUUCUUUAUAAAGAUGAAAUGGGGUGCAAGAAUGAAAGGGUGCAGGGGUGGUAUAGGGGUGUAGGGUCAAGGGAUACAGGGUCAAGGGUUGCAAAGGUCAACAAUGCAUGUUUAGUAAUUGGAAGAAAAUAAAGGUGGAGUCAAUGGUGGGCACAAAAAUUUCAUUAAUCAAAAUAUUAAACUUUUAAACCAUUUAUUAAUUAGGGGUAUUUUUGAAAAUUGGAGGUGCAGGAUGAAAUGCUUAGAGGUUCAAAGUGAAACACUCAAGGCAUUUUAGUGUAGGGAGAAACACCCCAAAAUCCGUUGAAGGAGACUCUUUCUUCUUGUACUCCAUUAUUAUUAACUACACUGUACACUAAGAGAAAAGGCUAAAAUAUCCUUUCUUAAUUCUAUAAGGCCAUUACUUCCUCUGUUACGGUUGUCAUGGUUGGUGCGCCUCCAUUCUUGACACAUUUGCCCCUGUAGCUAAACUUACUACUGUUAGGCUUCUUGUUGCUUCCAACAAUUGGUUUUUACAUCAACUUGAUGUUGACAAUGCUUUUCUACAUGGAGAUUUGAAUGAAGAGGUCAAUAUGCAAUUACCUCCAGGUAUGGACACUAGCAAAGAAGGACUUGUAUGUAAGCUAACUAAAUCUCUAUAUGGCUUAAAACAAGCUAGUAGGCAAUGGUUUGAAAAGUUAUCUGCCUACCUUAUAUCUGUUAAUUACAGUCAAUCCAAGUCUGAUCACUCAUUGUUUACCAAAAGAACUGCUACUGGUUUUACUGCUUUACUUGUAUAUGUGGAUGAUAUUGUGUUAACAGGAAACUCUAUGGAAGAAAUUAACUACAUUAAAGAGCUUUUGCACAAAAGGUUUCGUAUUAAGAACCUUGGAGAGCUUAAAUAUUUUCUUGGACUUGAAGUGGCAAGAUCCAAAAAGGGAACUUGUAACACCCCUAACAGAGUGCCACUUAUAAAUAACCAAAUCCGAAAAUUUACGCCAAUUUUUUUUUUUUUUAAAAUAACAUCGCGGAAACAAAAACCUUAAAAAAUUCAAACGUCUUACAAACUUAAAGUUCCAGCCUUACAAAUACCGAAUCCAUUAUUCAAAAUGUAAAAUAACUUUAAAACAUGAUAAAUUCCCCGUAGCUAAAUCCCAUAUCUCUCAUCGUGCUACUCCAGCCUUGCAUUAUCUACAACACCAUCUACUCCCGUACAAGUACGAUCACUGUAGGUGGAACCACAACCACAAAAGUAAAGGGUGAGUAACUAAGGACAUAACAUAGCAUAUAAUUUCAAAGACAACAUCAUAACAUAGACUAAAAUAGUCAUCACAUCACAACGCAUCUCAGUAUUCAACUCAUAACUUAAAUCAUCACCACCCAGACUAUCAUAGUCAUAACAUUACAAUACAUCACAGUAUUAAACUCACAACUCAAGUCCUUUACACAAGCUUCCGUUGUUUCCUUGAAUUUUGUCGUACCAAACCUGUUUCGCAAAACAGGGCGAUUCGAGCCGCCUUCCAUCGCAACUUCAGGCCUAUCUCCCCGACUCCUCAAGGAAUUACGAGUAGAAACUUCGGUUAGGCGCACCCACCGAGCACUAUACUCACACGAGCCGAAGUCAUUGGGCGAGGCAUCCAACCCUCUCUAGUCCCCACGCAUGAGGAUAGGGUGACACUCGAAUCUCAGUCUCCGCAGAGAACUCAACACACUAUCGUAUCGCAAUACGAACACCACCGGUUCGAUAAGAAUUCUAAGGAAAUGACAGAACACUUGCUCUCACAACUUCACCAUCACAACCAUACACAUAUUACUCGCAUAUUCAAAGUCAACCAAACUCAUUGACCAACAAUCAAUUAAAAUAAAUAAUUAAAUCAAUCAAUUUUUCACAAUAAAAAUAAUUUAAUUAUUUUCCUACUUGCGCACCCCCGUUAAAUUAUUAAUCUCACCCUCUCAUUCCACUAGAACCAAUAUUUCUAGUGCACCCCCACUUUUACUAAAAUCACAACACAUAAUAAAACACACUUUUUCAUGUAACCCUUUUAUUUUAANUACACCCCUCUCUUAAAUUUACCAACCAAAUGGACCCCAUUAAUCUUUUUAAUUUUAAACUCAAACUUUAUAAUUUUUUUUCUCUCUCCAAGUGGACCCCACUUGAAUUACUCUUUUAUCACAAAACUCUCUUUCUCCCUCCAUUUUUUUUCUACUUUUACGUAACUCAUCUUCCUUUCUCUCAUCCCCUUUUUAUUUUAUUUUUUUCAAUCAAACCAAAAUCCACCUCACCCACCUUUCACACCAAAAUUACCGUGGACCCCAAUCACUUUUCUAGAUCAACUUUUCUUCUCUUUCUAAGACUAAAAGGCCAAUCUCUCUCCCAUUCAAUUACCAUUCACGUAACACUCACACACCCCAUAUUUCACAAUGUCAAACUUCUCUCUUAAAACAAAGUUCACGGCCNCACCACAAUUUCAACACUCACUCUUUUAUUUCAUUUCAACCUUCUCUCUCCUUCUUCCAUCCUUAUUUUUCGUCAAUUUCACACACACACAACUUCCACUCUUUCUUCCACUUUUGACUUUUCAAACACUCAUCUCUCACUCUCAUCUCUUCUUUUCACGUAACCAACACCUCUUCCAUUUUAUUAAACUUUUCAACCCCAAACUCCACAUCCAUUCCCCCUUUCUUCACGUCCCACCAUGCAACCCCUUCUCCAUCUCUUUCAUUUUUUUUCCUUCAACCCUUAUUUAACUUAUCCUUCUUUGCUUCCAAAGACCCUUCAAGCUUCCCUCUUCACGGUUGUUGCUCCUCUUGCAGCCCAUUACUUUUUCUUUGCCAAUUUCAUGUUCUUCCUUCAUGAUCUUAUUAUUCCCAUGCAACCAAGCUUCUUCUUUCUUCACCAUUUCAUCAACCCCAUAAACCCCAUCUCACAAAAACAUCACUUUCACUCCCCUCAUACUCAUAACUCACUCUUUUCUCUUCCAACAAUGGGAGAGAACUCUCAAUACCCUCCUACCCACACUCUUGGUCAAAGAGUGUAGAUAAGCAUCCCACAAAAAUAUUGUAAUUCAUACAUGGUAAUAAGGAAACAAGAUGCACACAAUAUAACAUGAUUUUAAGUGUACCCAUAAAACUUUUUCAUACACAUACAUCACCCCAAAGUGCCCAAAACAUGUAUACCCAUUUUAACAACAAUACUUUUUGAAAAGCCAACAUAUAAAGUUCAAGGUAUACCCAUAACUAAAAAAAAAAAAAGAAAAUAACAAUAUAUAUACAACCCAAAGUAUACCCCUUCACAACCCCAAUUUUUGAAAAUGCAUGAAAAUAAUCAUUCUCCAUACAACAACACAUGAAACUAAACACAAAAGGAGAGAGCAUGCAUAAACAUAUUAACUUUAAUCUCAACACAAAAGAAAGGAAGCAUGCAUCAACAUUAUCAUGUUACCUUCUACCCAUCAUACACCAUAUUAUAUCCCAAGUUCAACCCCUUACCUCUAGUUCCAAGCUAGUCUCCAAGGUUCUUGGGUUUCUUUCCUUCUUUAGACUCCAAGCCCUUCACCCUUCUAGGUUCCCUUCAAGUUUCCAACUCCAAAGCUAGGUUGAGUACUUUCUUUCUCUCACCAACUUGGUUGUUUCUCACAAAGAAAUGUUUCUCUCCANUCAACUUACGGCUUUCUCUUUCUUUUCCACUCUCUCACCAAGUUUUUAAUACCCUCUAACUAACUUAAAAUUACACACUUAUAUAAAAUCAAACCUAAACCUUUCUAACCCUUAAUCCCCCACUCAAGGUCACUACCAAGGGCAUCCUUAGACCAUUUCAGAUUUUUCCCAUUCCUAACUCCACAUUAACACCCAUAAAACCUCUCUUUAAUGUGUGUAAAUGGUAGGUUUAAAGUGUGUUUAAGUGCCUCUAUAAUACCCAUUUAUGGAGCCUACCAUUUUUAAUGCAAUGUUUAACCUCUCCAAGAAACUCCAAGGUCACUUACAAGCAUCCUAAGUCUAGAAUUCUUGUGGCCCACCCCAUGCAAAAAUGAAGAGGAAUAAUAUAAGACCCAUGGCAUGCAUUGAAACGUAACUUGGAAAGAGAAGGAAAAAUGAGAAACAAAAGCUUUAAAUUUUCAAUCAUGCAAGAUGAAACAUAACAAGAAUAAAAUAAAGCAACGCAAGGUGCAACCCACACCAAUUUUAACGUGAAAGUGCUCUCCCUUUAAGAGAAGUUUUAGUUCUCUCUUUCUUACCUCAUGGUGGGACCCACAUGACAAGGUGGAAAGUAAAAAUAGCUAGGAGCCUUUUUGGUCUUGGGAGGGUUAGAACUUAAGACCAAGCACACAUCCCUCCCAUGCACGUUGCACAAACAAUUAUAUUUACAUGCCUUUUCAAGUUUUUCGAAAUUUAAUAAAAAAAAAUUAAUAUUAAUUUAAUUUUCUUCCCUUCCUUAAAUAUUUCUUAACAGCGUUUCACAUCAAAAUUUAUUAUCUAAUACCACCAAAAUAAAAUACUUAAAAUAAGUAAUCAUUUUUAUUUAUACGGGUCUUACAGAACUCAUUUCUGUCAGAGAAAGUAUGCCUUGGACAUACUUGAGGAAACAGGGAUGCAGGGUUGCAAGCCUUCUUCUACUCCUUUUUUAAAGGACACCAACACACUGUACAAAGAGGAUAACUAUCUGGCCAAUCCUGAAUCAUAUAGAAGAUUGAUAGGGAAGUUACUCUAUCUUACCAAUACUAGGCCUGACUUAUGUUUUACUGUCAAUCUUCUCAGUCAAUUUAUGCAAUCCCCCACCUAUUAUCAUUAUCAGGCUAUUCAACAUAUUCUCAGAUAUAUAAAAUCCUCGCCUUCUAAAGGGUUAUUCUUUGCAACUGACUCUCUUAAACAACUAAAGGCCUUUAGCGACUCCAACUGGGCCACUUAUCCUAACACAAGGAGAUCCACUACGGGUUUUUGCGUUUUCCUUGGAUCAUCGCUCAUUUCCUGGAAAUCUAAGAAGCAGAAGAUUGUUUCCAGAUCUUCCACUGAAGCAGAGUACAGGGCUCUUGCUGCCACUGUAUGCGAAAUACAGUGGCUCCAUUAUCUUUUGCAAGACCUUUAAAUUGAAGAGUCUGGGGUACCUGUUUUGUAUUGUGACAACAAGUCGGCACGUCACAUAGCCCACAAUCAAAGCUUCCACGAACGAACCAAGCACAUAGAGCUUGAUUGUCACGUGGUCCGAGAAAAACUCCAGGAGCGCCUCUUACAUCUUCUUCUCGUCCGAUCCGACGAACAGCUGGCUGACAUCUUCACGAAAUUUCCGCAUCGUGUCAAAUUUGGAACAAUUAUCCCCAAGCUUGGAUUGGUAAACAUACAUUGUCCAGCUUGAGGGGAGGCUAUUAAGAAUCAUUUUUUAUUCUCUUAACUGUCUUUCAACAGUUAUUCUGUUUUACGAUGUUUUACGAUUUUUCUGUUUUCCUUUUUCUCCCAUUGAACUCUAUAUAUAGAGUUCCUUCCCCGUUUGCCCCAUAAGAGAUGUAUAUGAAACUCAGUUACUUUUCAUGUUAAUCAGAAUAAAGAAAGAGUUAGUUUUUCUUACUCACCAUGUUACGAUCUACCUUUUUCUCUUCUGCAUCACCGGCAGCCACCGUGCCGGAGCACCGUCGAAGGAGUCUCCGACCACUUCUCUCUCCAUCGCCUCUCGUUCUCUAACGCAUCGCUCUCUUUCUUCUCUUCUUUCAUUUACGCGAUUAUGCCAUGCAUGCAUUCAAUGUCCAGAUUAAAUCGUUCCAUGGGCCAACAAAAACAUUGGGCCUUUAGCGUUUCAAGUGCAUAGUGUUGGGCUCAUUACAAUAGCGCAUUUCAUCGCCAACACCUUCCGCAAAAACGACAACAAGUGGUGCCCCAACGCUUUGGCCUCCAAAAGCUAAACUAAAAAAGUGACGAGGAAAACACGAACGUUGUUGUUGUUAUCAGAUGAAGUUCCAUAGCUAGUAGAAAUUAAGAAAAAUGGAGAUCAUUCGAAGAUCAGUGUCCUUAAAAAACUGCAACUCAUUGAGUGCGAGAUUUCUAUGUACUUCAACAUCAUGGUUGUGGAAACCCCUCUGCGCCAUUCCCCUCAUCAUGCCCACAUGAAACCCAAACCUUCUCAGCCUCUCAAUCUCCUCCUCACUCCCACCUCCGACCACCGCACCACAGGCGGCGGCGUAUGCAUGCAACCCACCCUCCCUCCACCACGCGCUUCAUGUUUUCCUCCUCUGACGUUUUCUUCAUGUGUUGCGAAUCUAUCAGCCCUUCCGAACCCAUCGCACGUGAUAUCUCGAUUAUCACACACAUCACCCUCUCUAGGCUUCCACGGCUCGGCCUAUCGCCGCUCGUCAACAACUCACUCUUUUAGUUGGGUGGGAACUGUAGGAUGCAUGCUUUGGGUAGGAUUUCUGGAUGAGACACAGAUGAUGUGACGCAUCUAGAGCUUUAAGCAAUGUUUUCUCUCACUAAUUUACACUUUGAACUUAAUUUGCACUUCUUAUCCAGUCCGUCGUUGCUGUUAGGAUUAAUUCAGAACUUAGUUUAGGGUGUUGAAUUAGUCAAAGUUAGUUUUUCUGUUUUUUCUAUUGAGUUCUGUUACUCUUUUCUUCUCCUUUAAGUGUAUAUAACUUCACUCUUGUUAUUCAAAAGUACAAGGCAUAUUCAGUUUACUUUGCACUGCAUUCCCUUCUCUCAAAACUCUCUCUGUCAUAGUGAUCUCUAAUAGGGGUAUCAUAGAGCACGGGUUGCGAAACAAGGAACGGUGGUUAUCGUUGGGCAGUACGACUGAUCUUGGCAGAGACUUUGCAAAGGCUGAUCUUUCAACCCUACAUUACCCGAUACUCACAGACAACAAUUGGAGUCGAUGGAAUACCCAGAUGUGGGUGGUGCGUACAGAAAGUUAGCAAUGUUGUCGAAGGUGACUUCUCGGUUGAGGCUUCUGGUAAGGAGGAGCAAAAGAAAGAUUGGAAGGAAAAAGACGACAGAGCACUGCUGAUAAUACACCAAUGCGUGGACGACGCAAACUUCGAAAAGAUCCAGCAUGCUGUGACAGCGAGGGAGGCAUGGAACAUNNUUGUCCNUCGCCAUUCUGGAGGAGAAAAGGUCAAGAAGGUUAGGUUGCAAGCNCUAAAGAGACAAUACGAACAUAUGGAGAUGGAAGACAGUGAUAAAGUGAACGAGUUUUUCAGUCGCGUGAUAGGAGUGGCAAACCAGAUGAGAGCCUGCAGGGAGAAACUUACAGAUGCAAUGAUAAUGGAAAAGAUUUUGAGAUCAAUGCCUGCUGCAUUCGACCAUCUUGUCAUAACCACUGAAGAAACCAGAGAUUUGGAGAAGCUUAGGAUUGAAGAAUUGCAAAGCACGUUCGAAGCUCAUGAAAUGAGAAGAAAUGGCAGAAAGAAACGCGAUGACCAAGCCUUGAAAGCUCAACAUAUUUCUGGUGAUGAAAAGAAGAAAUCAAACAAGUGGAAAGGCAAGAGCAAAGAUACGAAGAAAUGGAAGAAAAGCACAGAUGAUCAAGAAGAAAAAANCAGUUCUACAGAUAAAAAGAAUGUCCCGAGAAAACAAUAUUCAAAAGAAGAGAAAAAGAACAUGGAAUGCUUUGUCUGUAAGAAAAAGGGUCAUCUUUCAUACGAGUGUUGGUUCAACAAAGAUGUUCAGAGCAAGAAAGGGCGAAGCAAAGAAGCUCAUUUGGUAGAAGAAGAAGAAUCAGAGCCUGAGCCACUGAUUCUUAUGGUCGCCACUAACACAGAAACCUCUGAGACAGCAAAAGAUGUUUGGUACGUAGAUUCAGGUUGCUCAAACCACAUGACAUACAACAAAAACUGGAUGACAAACCUAGAUGAAUCCANGAAAAGCAAAGUAAGGGUAGCAGAUAACAACACACUUAAAGUCGAAGGGAUUGGAAAUGUUAGAAUCAAAGGGAAAAAUGGGAUGCAUGCUAUAUUAGAAAACGUGCUUCUGGUUCCUGAGAUGAAAUGCAACCUCAUAAGCGUGGGGCAAUUGACCGAGAAUGGUUACACAGUGAUAAUGGGCAGCAACGCGCCAAAAGAGGUAUUCGACCAAGGUAAGAAUCUGAUCCUUAAAUGUAUAAGAUCUGGAAACCGUACUUUUCAGGUUCAUCUAGGUGCGAUAGACUCUCUACANUGUUUAACAUCCAUUGAAGAAGAUGAAAGCUUGAGAUGGCAUCUUAGGCUCGGACAUCUUAAUUACAAAGAUUUGCAGCAACUGAGUAAUAAAGAAUUGGUAAAAGGGCUACCCAGAAUCACUCUACAACACAAAGAAUGUGAAUCGUGUAUCCUUGGAAAACAAACGAGGAGACCCUUCAGAAAGCAACUGGAGUCGAGAUCGAAAGAACGAUUAGAGAUCGUUCACUCAGACGUGUGUGGACCAAUUGAACCACCAACAAUAGUUGGAAACAAAUAUUUCUUGACAUUUGUAGAUGAAUACAGUCGGAUGAUCUGGGUGUUUUUACUUCGACACAAAAAUGAAGCUCUUGAGGUGUUCAAAACAUACAAGAAACAAGUUGAAAAGGAAGUCGAAAGGCAGAUAAAGCUGCUUAGGACUGACGGGGGUGGUGAGUAUACAUCUCAAGAGUUUGCUGAGUUCUGUUGUGAGCAAGGAAUCAUUCACGAAAUAAUAGCGUCGUAUACGCCACAACACAACGGUUUAGCUGAACGAAGAAAUCGGACUAUCUUGAACAUGGCACGGUGUAUGAUGAAGGAGAAAGACGUAUCUCGAGACUUGUGGGGAGAAGCGGUCGUGACAGUUGUGCACAUAUUGAAUAGAUGUCCAACAAAGCGUUUGACAGCAAAGUGCCUCAUGCAGCAUGGACAGGUAUGAAAUCCUCCGUGUUUUAAAGUGUUUGGCUCUUUGGCUUUUACUCACAUUGCAGAUCAAAAGCGUGUGAAACUGGACGACACAAGUGAGCCCAUGGUUUUUGUUGGGUAUCACUCUACCGGGGCGUACAAAUUGUUUGAUCCAAUCAAAAGGAUUAUGAAGAUUAGCAGAGACGUUAUAGUAAUUGAAGAUGAAUAUUGGGACUGGAAAAAUAAUCAAACCAGUAUGAAGAAGAAGAAGACAAGUGCAAUAGUCCACUUACCAAAUCUAACAGAGGUAGAAGAAGAGACUGAAAGCCAUAACCAAGCAGAUUUGAAAGACACCACUGAAGAAGACAGUGAACCAAGACCCAAAAGACAAACUGUACGACCAACAAGAUUUGCUGAUUAUGAGGUUUAUUCCGACGCUGGAGUGGACGAGGAGGGUGACAUCAUACACUUGGCAUUGUUAGUAGGGAGUGAACCUUUGUGUUUGGAUGAAGCACUGUCAGAGCCAAAUUGGAGAGGUGCUAUGAUUGAAGAGUUAAAAUCAAUCGAAAAAAAUCAAACAUGGAAACUGGUUAACUUGCUGAAUGGAAAACUUAGCAUUGACGUCAAAUGGAUAUUCAAGACCAAACGAAACCCAGACGGCUCAAUACUAAAGCACAAGGCUAGGCUCAUUGCAAAGGGUUUUCUUUAGAAGGAAGGUGUGGACUUCACCGAAGUAUAUGCUCCAGUAGCAAGGUUAGAAACUAUACGUUUAAUAACUGUUGUUGCCUGUGCCAAAAAUUGGUUUCUAUCUGCUCUUGACGUCAAAUAUGCAUUUUUGCAUGGCUUUCUUGAGGAGGAAGUCUAUAUCAAGCAGCCUCCAGGUUUCAUCAAAAAGGGCAGAGAACAUCAGGUCUACAAACUCGAGAGAGCUCUCUAUGGACUGAGACAAGCUCCCCGAGCUUGGAACAAAAGGAUUAACACGUUCUUCCUUGAAAAAGGUUUUGAAAGGUGCACUGUAGAGCACAACUUAUAUGUUAAAUCUGACGACAAAGAUCAUAUUCUGAUUGUAUGUCGCUAUGUGGACGAUCUUCUGGUGACUGGCUCAAGCAUAGAAGACAUAGGAGAGUUCAAGACUCUGAUGAAAACCGAGUUUGAGAUGACAAAUAUGGGAAAGCUUGGUUACUUCUUAGGGAUGGAGUUUUCUGAGACCUCAGCCGGAUUGGUUAUGCAUCAAAGGAAAUAUGCUAAAGACAUACUGAAAAGGUUCCAAAUGGAUCAUUGCAAUGAAGCAGACACGCCACUAGAAUCCAACAAAAGAGUGAGAACAUAUGAAACUGAAGAUAAUGUGGAUGAAACACUGUACAAGCAAAUUAUUGGGUCUUUGAGAUUUCUUUGCAACAGCAGACUAGACAUAAUGUUUUGUGUUGGUUUACUAAGUCGCUACAUGAAUAGGCCAAAGAAAGGUCACUUGAUUGCAGCAAAGAGGUUACUGAGAUAUGUAAAAGCUACUGAAGAUUUUGGAAUUGUAUUUCCACGAACUCAGAACACUGCUGAUCUCAAGCUUGUCGGAUAUUCUGAUGCUGAUUUUGGUGGAGACGAAAUCGAGAGGAAAAGUACAUCAGGAAGUACCUAUUUCCUGAACGAAACACCAGUAUCAUGGAGCUCAAAGAAGCAGUCUGUCAUUGCUCUCUUAAGCUGUGAGUCAGAGUAUAUAGCUGGAUGCAGUGCUGUGUGUCAAGGGGUAUGGUUGAUCGAGGUUUUGAAGCAUUUGAAGUUACCAACUACAAACUGCAUAGAAUUAAGAAUGGACAACACUUCAGCAAUGUGUCUUGCUAAGAAUCCAGUAAGUCAUGGUCGAAGUAAACACAUUGAAGUUAAAUAUCACUUCCUGCGUGAUAUGGUUAGCAAAGGAAGUGUUGAGUUAGUUUACUGUCGAUCUGAACUUCAGCUUGCAGAUAUCUUGACAAAAGUACUCAGCCAUGAGAGAUUCAAACUUCUCAGAAGUUUAAUUGGUGUGAAGUCUUUGAAAGAUUUCUGAAUUAAGGGGAAGUGUUAGGAUUAAUUCAGAACUUAGUUUAGGGUGUUGAAUUAGUCAAAGUUAGUUUUUCUGUUUUUUCUGUUGAGUUCUGUUACUCUUUCCUUCUCCUUUAAGUGUAUAUAACUUCACUCUUGUUAUUCAAAAGUACGAGGCAUAUUCAGUUUACUUUGCACUGCAUUCCCUUCUCUCAAAACUCUCUCUGUCAUAGUGAUUCUCUAAUAGUUGCUUAGCACUUGAACUAUAUUCUUACAUAUUUUAAUGUAAUAUAAAUAUUUUUUUGGCUUCCUAUUUUCAUUGCUGCUUAUUUGGGCUACUGCUUAUUUUAACAUAUUGCAUUUACAAGACUUGCCUAGAGGACAUAAAGUGUCUGAGAUAACUGCUAUCAAAACUCCAUAUACUUACCUGAUGGGCGAUUUGAUCUUGAAUAUGCAAAUUGAAGAAGGGGUCGAAGAUGUUAUUCUUGGUGGGACAACUGGUGAAGGACAAUUAAUGAGUUGGGAGGAGAAAAGGAUAGAAUCUGCCAAUAUAGUGAAGGCAAUUGGCCGAGAGCAUUUUGUUCGAAACAAAGAUGUUGAUGUUCUUGAUGACGAAGACUUUUUCUUGGUCAGUCGUUAUUAAGUUAUUUUGUAGGUUUACUGUAUCUUCCUUUCUGGGGGUUUUACAAACAUCAAAUCAUGAUGAGUCUCCUGUAGUAAAUUGAAGUGAUUACUUAGUUUCUUUUUACUGGCUACUCUGUAGUUAGGAACUAGUUCAAAUUUGUUGAGUUUGAAUUUAUGUGCCACUGCAUAUUCUAUAUAUCGUGUUUUGAGCAAUGAAACAUAACAACAAUGAAAGGGUCGAACCGCCGUGUCUGGUGUGAUUGAUGGCACCGUGACGUGCUGCAACAGUGACGGUGACGACUUGGAGACAAACGGCGCGAUGGUUUCCAAAUCCCUAGUUUCCUUUUUAAUUUUCAUCUUCAUUUUUGUCUCCCAUUUGAGCAAAUGAAAUCCCUAAUUCGAAUAUCAAAUCUUAAUUCUCAUAAUCAAGAAGUGAAAUCCAAAUAAUGAGAAAUAAAUAAUGCUACAUCAACAUUGUCUAUUUAAUUAAAAAAAUUUACAUAAUCAAACAACAUACAUCAGCACAUUCUCAAAAUGGGUUCAUUUUUACAAAAAAAUAUGACCCAAUUGAGACAAAUGAAAAAAUAAGGACCAAAUUGACAUACAAAAAUUAGGACAAAGGAAAGGUUUAAAUCUAAAUUAUAUUAUAGAAUACUCUUUCCGAGAUGUGUUUCAUAUAUUUCACUUUUAAAUAUUAUGGAUGUGCAGUUAGAAAUUAUGGGAGUACAGAAAAAAAAAAAAAAAACUCUUAUACAAAUGAGAUAGCACUUCAUUUAUACCAUACGUAAUUUGUAAAAGUUUUAAAUUGUUUUACGAAAUAAGCUGUUUUACAGAAAAUUAAAAAUUUUAAUUUUAUUAGAAAAUUUAUUCAACCAAAUAUAUAUAUAUAUAUAUAUAUAUAAAACCUUUUGAAAAAAAAAUCAAGAAAUCGUGUAAUCUAGUGCCUCCAAACCUGCGCGUUUGAAACUUGCCAUUUUGAAUUUAUAAAUUUAGCAAUGAUCGCAUACUGAUUAUACUCUAGAAACAUAUCUAAGGCAUAAAUAAGCCAUUCAUAAACUUAACACAAUUAAACUUAGAAUGAUAAAAAUACAACAAUUGACACAAAAAAUAACGAAACAUAAGAAAUGGGUAUAAAUUUCUUGAAUUUUGUCUUUCUAUUUCAGAGACAGAGAGCCACGAGCCAGAAUUGUGUAACAUGUUGCUGAGGCUGAAAAAUGAAGCCCUUUCUUCAAAGAAGCAAUAGUGUCAUGCUGUUUAAGCUUCCCAACCUCUAAGGACAGUGGCCCUUGCCACACGGUUAACUGCAAGGGUGAAUGCCCCCAUACGAAGGUCACAAUUAUGGGUUUUGCACAUGUCCUUAACAUCUUUGAACCCUUUGGUCAUGUAUGUCCUUAAUUCAUUGUUCACCUUCUCCUCAUCCCACAUGAAUCCUUGUAUGUUCUGUACAUUACACAAUAAUCAUCAUUUGGUCAUAGUUAAUUUUAUAAUGUCUUCAUCAACUCAAUCAACAUAAUUGUAAGUGAAUUUGGAACCACACAUGUUACCAAAGUAUUUGACAAUGUUUUGUCAUGAAAGAAAAAAUGAAUAGACAAUUUAAAAACCGUAGACAAAUAUGGUUAAAAAGUGUUCCAAUAGUCUUGCUUAGGAAUUAGAGAUUAAGAAUAAUUUAAAUAUAUUCUUUUUUUCAAUCUUCUCAGCCAUCUUUUAAGGACAAAAUGAAACCNUCUUUUAAAGACAAAAUGAAGUUUCAGACUAUAAAACGGACAGUACUUCAAAUACAGUGAUUAACUCAAAUGAUAUAGACUUAAGGUGGGAACAUAAAGUAAUACUAACAACAUAUUAGAAUUAACAGAUAAAAAUACCUGCACCCACUCAAAGUAGCUAACUGUCACUCCUCCUGAAUUUGCAAAAAUAUCUGGCAGGAUCACAACCCCUCUCUUUUUCAGNAUCUGCAAAAUGAGUUGGAAGUUAAAAAACUCGAUAUUUUCUAUUAUUUCUCUUUCAUUGGUUUGUUUUUUGUUCAUAUGAAAGAAAGAAUACAAUGGAAACUAACCUCAUCAGCCUCAGGGUCAGUUGGGUGAUUGGCUGCUUCAACAAUAAAUUUGGCUUUAAUAUCAUUGGCGUUUUCCCUUCAACCAUAUAAAAAGAGUUAGAUAAAAAGGUUACAAUAAUAUAUUCAUUAUAGAUAUCCUUUUGAACACAUAGAUGUUUAGGAUGCUUGAGUAUUGAAGGCAAUAAAUUUGUGCGACAAGCAACUUUGUCAAGAUCCUUUGUGGAGUAACACAGAAAAACUUCAUUUUAGUCCUUUUAGAUUACGUUUUUCACGGACAUUUAGAAAUAAAGUGAAUGGUAUUUUACAACAUUGUUCAAAUCCAAAGACCAAAGUGAAAAAAUUCGUGAAGUUAUUAAAGAUUAAAUCAUCACAAGAACUAAAGUGCAAGUCAAUUACUAAAGAAAAAGUUUGUGGUGCAUUUUGACUUCUGCUUCCAAGGUAAAUGUGAUGAAAUACAGUUAAAUUAGUGAUCUACUAAGCACACAAGAAUUUUGUAGUUUAAGUAAAAGCACCUAUUGAUGACUCCUCCAAGAGCUGCUGGGACAAGAACAUCACAGUCUUCAACCAAAAUUGACUUGGGAUCAAUAGCAUCACCACCGUGGAAUCCUUUCACUCCUCUGUUUUCUCUGGAAUGCUUGAGUAGACUUGGUAUGUCAAGACCAUUGUUGUUCUUUAUGGCCCCAGUUAUGUCACUCACAACGACAACUAUGCCACCUUUCUCACUGAUCAGUUGGGCAGCCCAAGACCCUACAUUUCCAAAACCCUGAAGACACACAAAGCAGGGUUAAUUGUAUGAUUUUAUCUCAUAUUCAUCAAAAUUAUUAGGAAAGGAUUCAUGAACUUUUUCUUGGAGAAUUUUCACAUUUAAAUAGUACAUGUCUAUCAGUCAUUGUUGUGGACAUAAUUUUCAAACUACUAUGCAUGAUGUUAGAGGCUCCAGUCCAUACAUAACAUAUAAGGGUUAAUAUGAUUUUUGUUCAAUAUUUGAGGGGUUUAUUUGAAGAGAUUCUUCAAUUGUUUUCUUUUUUGUAUUCAACUCAUUUUAUUUAAAAGGAGUGAAUGUGGUUCCUUAUGUUAAUUUGGUGUUGACAUCAUUUGAAAGCUAACCACCUCUCAGUGGUUUCCAACUCUUCAUUUUCUCUAUCCGUUUCUAUUUACUGCACCACCAUGGCUGCCUCUAGAGAAAGUAGAAACACGUGCAGGAAGUAGAAAAGGAGGAAGUGAAAAGUUGGUCACCUUCCAAAUGAUGUUAACACUAAUUUAUCAAAAGAAACCACAUUGUUUCCUUUUAAAUAAAAUGGUGAUUGAUCCGAGGACAAAAAAAUUGAUGAUUCACAUUGAAUAAACUUCUCAAAUAUUGGGACCAAAAACCUAUUAACCCUGGCAUAUAAUGAAUGCUGUUUUUCAUUUUGCAUAGAAAUCAAGGGUAAUAAAAACAAGUAGUACCUGUAUGACAAACCGUUGUCCGGAUACACUCUUUCCAUGCUCCUUAAGCAAAGCCUCAGUUGCAAAGAGGACUCCCCUUCCUGUUGCUGCAUCUCUGCCUAGAGAUCCACCAAGAUCCUAUUUCAACACAAAAUGUUAGAUAUGGGAAUUGUUUUGGGAGAUAAAAUCAACACAUUUCUAAGCACACUCUUUGUUAUUGGUUGAAAUUCUUGUUUGACUGACUAUGUAGGGAGUGGAACCCUCCUUAAUGGAAUUCAUAUGAAACUCUAACUAAUAAUCUAACUACAAAGAAAGUGUUAGAAAAAAGUGUUUUCCUAGUUUUGCUAAUUUGUUUCUUAAGCAUAGGGUGCUGUUGUGGCACAGUUCAAAGGCCAUUAAAAUGAGAAAUAUAAAUGUUUUAAUCUACUUACAAUAGGUUUCCCAGUAACUACUGCAGGAGAGUGGCCAUGAAAUUUGGAAUACUCAUCUAGUAUCCAAGCCAUAGUCUGCAUAAGACCAUACAAAAGAAGUGUGAUUUGUUAGUGUUUUGUAUUAAAUAAUUUUAUCAGCAUAUAGAUAAGCAUAAUUGUUGUACUCACCUGUGGUCCUGUUCCCAUAUCAGGUGCAGGUACAUCUGUCUGAACUCCAAUCAGAUCAUGAAUUUUUUGUGUGAAAACUCUGGUAAGUCUCUCUAACUCUGACACACUUAAUUCUGAUGGAUCACAUCCUAUCCCUCCUUUGGCCCCACCAUAUGGUAUAUUUGCUACUGCUGUCUUCCAUGUCAUUAGUUGUGCCAAAGCAUUCACUUCAUCUGGUUCAACCUGCUCAAGCCAAAACAUAUAUAAUUGAAUGAGAGAACUCAUAACCUAUAAACAGAUCAUAAUAACACAUUUAGGCCAAUUCAAUUCCUUCUUUGGUCAUGAAUGGAAUCAUACCUGCAUUCAAUAUAGGAUAAAAUGUGCUUCAGGUGCUGAAUCUUCAGUCAAAAUUUGUUCUGGUUUUUAUAUUUGAAAACUAGGGUUUUGGUCAACAAGUUAUUUUCUAGUUGGUAAGUUUCAUUCUUCUUUAUGAAUUUAAGACACUGGGAUGAAAGUUGAAAUUCACUAAUUAUAAAAGAUAUGAAAACCAAAUUUAUCAUUCUUAAAGUAUAAGAAUGAGGACUAAUUUUGACUGCAAAAUUGAGUGACUUCCUAGGAGAGACAAAACACCAAUAAAACAUGAGUCCAAAACACAUAGGUGACAAAAUCUUAAGAUAAUGGGUUUGUCUUUUGUCUUAUACAUUGCUCAACUUUCCUAUUUUUACUCAAUAUGGAACUUAACCUCAUAUUUAGAUUUCUAACAUUGAUAGAAUUAAAAGACAUGUGACUGAUCAGAAAAGGUGUAAAAUACAAGGUAAAAAUAAGUAAAUGCUGUUAUUGAUAAAAGUCUAUAGUUAGUUUGUGUUUUGAAUUUAGAUUUGUUGCUGAGUAACUAUGGUAUUUGAAAGUCAGAAUGUAAUUCACCUCAGGAUGGUAUCUGAUUCCACCUUUCAUGGGGCCUCUGGCAUUAUCAUGUUGAAUCCUGAAUCCAACAAAAGUGGCCAAAGAGCCAUCGUCUUUAGGGAUGGUACACUCAACCUGCAUUUUCAUUCAACAAGAUUUAGAACAGUAGUUGUUGAUCUCUGUCAUGCCUAUCUAACAAAUACACAGUCAGCACAACACUCAGUCAUCAAGGAAAAGGUAGUGAUUUCACAAACAUAUCAUAACCAAUACAAAAAAGUUUUCACAAAGAAUGAAUCUUUAACCAAAAAACUUGACAGAAGAAAAGGAGGUCAAUGGAUGAUGUCAGUUUCAUCACACAUUCAAACAGUAAGCAAAUAAGAACCAACUAAAGAAGAAUUGAGGUAUAUAUGAUCAUCAUUUAUGAAUGCAUGAAAGUUUUGGCUGCAACAAAUCUUGAAAAAUGCAGAGAAAAGGGUGUAGUUUCUGCAAGAAAACUGUUUUGCACCCUUCAACACUAUACUGCAAAAAACAAAGUAAAAAACGUGGUAAAUUUGCAGGUUAACAUGCCUUGAUUUCUCUGAAUGGAAUGAGCAAACUUUUCUCAAGCUUGGAAUCCAAUCCCAGGAGCCUAGAGGCCAACCUGAAAUUCCUGUUGGUGGCUGCGAGUGCAUUCAUUUUUCCCUUUGCACAGUUCAAAAGAAUGAAAAAGCAAACACAAAAAUUUCAAUUUUUUUGAGAGAUACAGAAGACGCGGAAAAUAGACGGUGCAAUACUGCAAUUCUUAAAGGGUAUUUAUAGCUGUCGUGGGAAGGAAAAAGGGAAAGAAAAAUUGAAACCUAUUUGUGCCAGAAAAGUAGGAAGUGUUCACAAGCAACAUCCUAGUCAAUGUCAACAAAGCAACAUUUUAGUAAAAGUUUGGUAAUAACUCCAAACACAACUUGGAUAACUACAUCAACGUGAAACACCACGUGGAUCAAAGUCAGCAAAUACCCUAAAAAUGGUGGCAAAAAUAAUAACUAUCACCAAAUCUUCAUAAAAUAUUUACCAGUUUAAAGUUAUUUCUCCACGUAUAAACAAUAGUAAUAAGUAUGUAACUUCAUGAAACAAUUUCACGGAAAUAAUGUUCUUUUCAUAAAUCUUGUUUUUUUUUUAUUAUUUAAAAUAGGAAAUAAGAUAAUUAAUUUUAUAUAGGGUUAAAACUUUAGUUAUUUUUAAACUAAAGAAAUAAUAAUAAUAACCUUUAAGAUUGAAAGGAUACCAUGAAAUAUUUCUUUAUAAAUAUAAUAUGAAAAUAAUUCAUUUUUUUAUAAAUCAAAUUAAUUUAUGCAUGAACUAAAAAUCGUCUAUUAAGGAGUUAAUACCAGAAAGUUGUUGCGAAUUUGUUUAUUGACAAACUAAUUUAGUUUAUGAAAAAUAUAGCCCAAUUUCUUUUUGGUUUUAAAAGUAUUUAAAAAAAUUGUCCAAAUAUUUUCUUAGUACUUGUAUGUUAGUCUCAAUAUAUCCAAACGAAAUUGGGUUAAAUAUGUUUUUCGUCCCCCAAUUAUUAGUCUAUUUGUGUUUAGUUCCUCUUUCAAAGUAUAGUACAAUUUAGUCCUUCAACUUUAGAAAACUAUGGUUUUAGUCUGUUUUACCAAAUUUUUUAAACUCUAUUUGCUGUUUCAAGCACGUUACAUUAUAGCAUUUGGAUUCUUUACACAUUUUGACACAUUUUUGCUUCAAUGUUAACUGAGAAACGUGUUUGAAACAGCAAAUAAAGUUAAAAAAUUUUGAUAAAAAGAACUAAUACCAGAGUUUUCUAAAUUUGAAGGACUAAAUUAUACUAUACUUUGAAAUAGGGACUAAACACAAAAACGGCCAAGAGAGACGAAAAACAUAUUUAACCCAUCAAAAUUUUAUAGGAGAAAAUAACUUUUUUAUUGAAGCAACUUUUUUAUGCUGAAAAAAAAUCUCUUGUUUAAAACGUGAUGAAAAGGCCAUGAACCAUAAAUUAUUAUUUCUCUGGUUCUCCACGGAUCUGUGGUAAAAUUCUCAUAUGAUAGGGUAAGAAGAAGAUUAAAUGACAACUUUGAUUAAAAUAAUAGAUGGUUAGAUAUAAUUUCUUGUGAAUGUGUUGUAUAAGGGAAGAUUUUAUAUUAUCGAUACUCUAAAAUUGAAAAUACUUAUUCUCAUGUUUUAAUAAUAAUAAUCUUUUUAUUCAUUUCUAUUUUAUUUUAAUUUUUUAUAAUAUAUCUGGUUUAUAGUUUAGCACCAUCGUUAUGAUGACUUUAGGUAUUCCCUUGUUAAUUUUGCAAUUUUAGAAGAUAAAAUACUUGUAAUACAUUAUUUUAUUUAUAAAAUUAUCGUAUAUAAAAUUUCAACUAUUAAUAAUUAAUAAAGAUUAGUAAGAGGGAUAUGGUUUGAGUUUUUUUUUUUUUUUGAAAGAUAUAUUUAUCAUGGCCAGUUUUUGUGAGUAUGACUUGUUCGUUUGGAUAAAAUAUUGUUUUAUUACAACACGUGACUAUUGUUUAUGGAAAAUGACCUUUUAUUGUACAAGUAUUUUCAUCAUCAUGGAUUGUAUUUUUUGAAAAAUAUAUCUUCUUCUUGACUCCAUCCACAUUGAAAAAAUAAACAUCAGAACGAUUAUUUGCAUGAUAAUUUACAUAAAAUAUUUUGUUAUGAGAAAAUAAGUCUAAUUCGAGAGAACAAUAUAAAUAACAUGUAAAAUAGAUUAAAUUAAAUUAAACGAAUAGUUGAGGUUAAUUUUUAUAUGAAUGUUAUCAUAAUGGAUUUAAAUUGAUCUAACAGACAUAUUUAUAGAUGAAUAAUUUUUAGAAGAAUAAUAAUAAAUUUUUAAAAAAUAAUAAAAGAAAUUUAUUAUAACAUAUAAUAUAUAAGUUAAAAUUUAUAAAUAAAAUAAAUACAUAUAAAUUUAUAAAUUGAUUUUUAUUUAUAUGACUUAAAUUUAAAAUAGACUUUUUUAUAUCCUUUAAAUGAUAUCAAAAGAAUUAGUAAAAUUUUCUCACUUUAGUCGUUAGGCUAAGUACUCAAAUUUUUCAUAUAUAAAAUCUGUUUUUCUAAGUUUUUUUUUUUUUUUAAUGUUAGAUAUCAUUUUUAGAGAGUUAAGUAAGUUUUAAAUAUGUCAAUGUUUUUAUUGAAUUUCUGUUAUUUUUUUUUUCAUUUUUUGAUUACUCAAACUUUUCUUUUUUAUCUUUUUUUUCUAUAUUUUGUUUUAUUAUUAUUUUUCUCAAAUGUUAAUAAAUGAGGUUAUCUGAUCAAUAUAAUUUUUUUUAAUUAAUGUAAAAAUCAUUUGUCUUUUUCAUAUUAAUUAUUAUAUCUUAAUUACAAAAUCUCAUAUUUUUUAACACGAUAAAAGAUAAAUGAAGAAAUAUAACACUCGUGUCAAAUAAUUAAUGGAAAAAAAAUAAAAAAUAAAAACUCAAUUAAAAAUAUUCCUUAAAUCAAUAAAAUUUGAUGGGAACUUAGUUGACAAUAUUCGAUUUAAACAUUAAUUAAGCCUUUUAUAAAUAUAUACUAUUUAUAACAUAUUUCUAUGAAAAUUAUUUUUAUAUAUAUUUUUAAUUAGAAUAUAAAAUUUAUAAUAAAAGGUAUUAAUUUAGGAAAGAAAAAAAUAAAUUAAAACAUAAUGGAAAAAAGAUAACAGAAAAUAAACUAAUAAAAUAACGAGAAGAGAUGUUUCAUGUAGAUUCAAAAAAUAGUAAUUAUUCAUAUUUUAAUUUCAAUUAAAUUAUAAAAAUUUAAAAUAGUUGAUUUUUUAUGAUUAAACUCUUUAUUAAAAGAUCUUAAGUACGAUAUAUAAUAGAUAUAUUUAACGAUAGAGUGAAAUAAACUAAUAAAAUAACGAGAAGAGAUGUUUCAUGUAGAUUCAAAAAAUAGUAAUUGUUCGUAUUUUAAUUUCAAUUAAAUUAUAAAAAUUUAAAAUAGUUGAUUUUAUAUGAUUAAACUCUUUAUUAAAAGAUCUUAAGUACAAUAUAUAAUAGAAAUAAACCAAUAAAAUAACAAGAAGAGAUUUUCAUGUAGAUUCAAAAAAUAGUAAUUAUUCAUAUUUUAAUUUCAAUUAAAUUAUAAAAAUUUAAAAUAGUUUAUUUUAUAUGAUUAAACUCUUUAUUAAAAGAUUUUAAGUACAAUAUAUAAUAGAUAUAUUUAAUGAUAAAGUGAAAUAGAUGAAAAAAAAGGUAAUAUUAUAUAAAAUUAUAUAAACAUUAAGUACAAAAUUUGAAACACAUAACUUUCAUAUGAAUAUUUUGGUUUAAUUGUAUAUUCGACUUUUUAAUAUUAUAAUAAUGUAGUUUUAAUUUCUCUUGUAAAUUGAAGAUAUGUUUAGAUUACCAUUUUAAAAGCUUCGAAUCACUAGUCGAAAAACGGUGUUUAACGUCACCCCAGAGACGUUGGUUGUUCCGUCAAUUGACAUUAAACGAUGACCGGUGACAAUUUCGUAAUUAAGUAGAGCAACUAGACGUCGGGCUAAACUCCAACCGAUGAAUGAAGAACUAUAGACGUUGGGGCCCUUCAACAGUGAUGUCUAAAGGUCUGCCAGAUAAGGUGAAGAGUCGAGGUAUAGACGUCACAAUGACAAACACCGACGUCUAAAGGUCUCAGAAGUGGUGAACAGUCGCGAAAUAGACGUCGGUGGAGACACACAUACGUCUACAGGUUGACAGGUAGUUGAGUGUCAUUAAUGGUCUUAGACAAAGACGUCGGUGUCCCAUGGUAACCGACGACUAUGUCCUGACAGUUAGGUGAAACUGUCAUGAUUGUUCUGCUACAUAAACGUCAGUUGCAUGGUAACCGACGACUAUGUCCAACUAGUCGUCACUUGCUCAGAUACCUGACGUCUAUAAUUCGCACCAAUAUUAAUAUUUAAAUCAUUUAGACGUCAUAUUAGUGAUAGGAUCGACGUUUAUAACCUGACAGACGUCAGUCACGAUAGCUAACCGACGUCUAUAGUAACAUCAACUUCAGAACGCGAACCCGCGAGUAGUUACACCACUAUUCAUCGUCUUCUUCCUCGCGCUUUCUGUUGCGGCAUAGCUUUCAGGUUCAUUUUCUUGCUUUUGCAUCGUUUAAAUUCAGUUUUACUCCGAUUAAGUGACUCUUUGCUGAGAUAUCUUCCAUUUCAACCGAUUAAAUUUUGUCUUCGUUGCGUUUUCAUGCAAUUUGUAACGUGUUCUUGGGCGACGUUUUUGACCGUUUUUUGCCUAUAUUUUUGGGGGUGCAGUCCUCCAAUUCCCUCCAUUUUUGUUUGAAUAUGCUAAGAAGGUUAGCUUCAAUGUUUAAAACUUUUAUUGUAUGUAUGUUAUUGUCUUUUGUGUAUGCAUGUUAUUGGCUUUUGCGUUUGCAUGUUUUUGGCUUUUAGGUAUGCAUGUGUUAUCGGCUUUUGAAUAUGUAUGUGAUAAAUUUUAUCUGUGUUAUUAUAAUUGGCAUGUUAGAUUAUAAGUAUGAAAUCACUAAGCGAAACUUAGUUCCCAUUUGAAAUUUAACACAAACAAUUAAUAUAGUAUGGAUCGAAGUUGGAUGAAUGCACGUCGCAUCUCUGAAGAAUAUGAGAAGGGUGUUUCAGUGUUCUUGCAAUAUGUUAAAGAAAAUGCAAAGUCUGUGAACGGGACAUAUUUUUUUCCUUGUGUUCGUUGUGCUAAUCAAAUACGACAAGACAUGGGCAAUUUGCAUGAUCAUCUAUUCAUGUUCGGCAUAACGAGAUCGUAUACCGUUUGGACUUGGCAUGGAGAAGUACUGGACCACACUAUGACGUCACGAGGAACAAAUUAUGUGGAAGAAUGGAUGAGUGAUCAUUUAGAGGACAUGAUAUGUGAUGUUGGUGAAGAUAACUUUAGAAGAGCUAAUUUGUACGAUUGUCUUAUCAAUGAUUAUGAGCAACCGUUGUACCCAGGCUGCACGAACUUUACACGUUUGUUUGCAACUUUGAAGUUGUUUAGUUUAAAAGCAAGGAAUGGAUGUACCGAUAAAAGUUUCACAGAGUUGUUGGAGUUGCUGAAGGAGACGCUUCCAGAAAAUAAUACUCUUCCUAUUCGUAACUACGAGGCCAAAAAAGUUUUAUGUCCAAUAGGUCUUGAAUAUCAGAAGAUACAUGCUUGCCCCAAUGAUUGUGUUUUGUACAUCAAGGAGUUUGUUUCACUAAACUAUUGUCCAACAUGUGGUUUAAGCCAUUUUAAAAAGAAAUCUGACAAAAACACUGAAGAAGGUAAUGAUGGUGCACCUGGUAAGGUCAUGUGGUAUUUGCCUAUAAUACCUAGGUUCAAAUGUAUGGUCUCUAUUAAGGAGGAUGCAAAGAACCUUAAAUGGCACGUUUUAGGAAGAAAGUGCGAUAAUUUUCUUCGAAACCCAGCAGACUCACCACAGUGGAAGAAGAUCGAUGAAACAUUUCCAGAAUUUGGUGCAGAUCCAAGAAACUUAAGACUUGUGAUUGCAACUGAUGGUAUGAAUCCGUACGGGAAUUUAAGUGGCAAACACAGUUCAUGGCCAGUUAUGUUGAUGAUAUACAAUCUUUCUCCAUUGUUGUGCAUGAAGAGAAAAUAUGUCAUGUUGUCAAUGAUNNNNNNNNNNNNNNNNNNNNNNNNNNNNNNNNNNNNNNNNNNNNNNNNNNNNNNNNNNNNNNNNNNNNNNNNNNNNNNNNNNNNNNNNNNNNNNNNNNNNNNNNNNNNNNNNNNNNNNNNNNNNNNNNNNNNNNNNNNNNNNNNNNNNNNNNNNNNNNNNNNNNNNNNNNNNNNNNNNNNNNNNNNNNNNNNNNNNNNNNNNNNNNNNNNNNNNNNNNNNNNNNNNNNNNNNNNNNNNNNNNNNNNNNNNNNNNNNNNNNNNNNNNNNNNNNNNNNNNNNNNNNNNNNNNNNNNNNNNNNNNNNNNNNNNNNNNNNNNNNNNNNNNNNNNNNNNNNNNNNNNNNNNNNNNNNNNNNNNNNNNNNNNNNNNNNNNNNNNNNNNNNNNNNNNNNNNNNNNNNNNNNNNNNNNNNNNNNNNNNNNNNNNNNNNNNNNNNNNNNNNNNNNNNNNNNNNNNNNNNNNNNNNNNNNNNNNNNNNNNNNNNNNNNNNNNNNNNNNNNNNNNNNNNNNNNNNNNNNNNNNNNNNNNNNNNNNNNNNNNNNNNNNNNNNNNNNNNNNNNNNNNNNNNNNNNNNNNNNNNNNNNNNNNNNNNNNNNNNNNNNNNNNNNNNNNNNNNNNNNNNNNNNNNNNNNNNNNNNNNNNNNNNNNNNNNNNNNNNNNNNNNNNNNNNNNNNNNNNNNNNNNNNNNNNNNNNNNNNNNNNNNNNNNNNNNNNNNNNNNNNNNNNNNNNNNNNNNNNNNNNNNNNNNNNNNNNNNNNNNNNNNNNNNNNNNNNNNNNNNNNNNNNNNNNNNNNNNNNNNNNNNNNNNNNNNNNNNNNNNNNNNNNNNNNNNNNNNNNNNCCACAGACAAUAGGUAGACGCACUUAUUUGCCCCCAGCCUGUCAUACUCUUUCUAAAAAAGAAAAACAAAGUUUUUGUAAGUCUUUAAGAAGUGUGAAGGUUCCACAAGGUUAUUUUUCUAAUAUUAGUAACCUUGUUUCUAUGCAAGAGCUGAAGUUAGUUGGUUUAAAGUCUUAUGAUUGUCAUAUAUGGAUGCAACAAUUGUUACUGGUUGUUAUUCGAGGCAUAUUACCUUCUUCUGUUAGGGGUAUUCUGACAAGUCUGUGUUUGUUUUUUAAUGCCAUUUGAAAGAAAGUUGUUGACCCUCGAUGUUUAGAUCAAUUGGAAAAUGAAGGAAUAAGACUACUAUGUGAAUUGGAAAUGUAUUUUCCACCUUCUUUUUUUGAUAUCAUGGUUCAUUUGAUUGUUCAUCUAGUUCGAAAAAUUCGAAUAUGUGGGCCGGUUUACCUAAGGUGGAUGUAUCAUGUUGAAAGAUACAUGAAAAUCUUAAAGGGAUAUGUCAAGAAUCAGUAUAGACCAGAAGCUUCAAUCAUACAGCGAUACAUUGCAGAAGAAGCCAUUGAAUUUUGUUUAGCUUACAUGCCAAGUUGUGAACCAGUCGUUCUACCUGAGAGCAUAAAUGAAGGAAGAUGUGAAGGUAAGGGUUGUGGUGUGAGGAUUCAACGUGUGAGUAGAGAAGAAGUUGAUCAAGCUCAUUUGUACAUCUUAAAGAACAUUGAUGAUGUUAUUCCUUACAUUUCUGAACACGUUAAUGAAAUAAAGGCAAUACACCCAAGAAUGAGUGAAAAAUGGCAGCUUAAUGAACAUGUCAAAACCUUCUUACCGUGGUUUAAGAAAAAGAUUUAUGCGACUCCAAAUGUUUCCGAAACUCUAUUGAGGCUAUCUCGGGGGCUGAACACAGAAGUCAUUAAAUAUGGUGGGUACUAUGUUAACAAUAUCUCUUUUCAGACAAAGGAAGAAGAUGAUAAAAGUAGAGUUCAAAAUAGUGGGAUUACACUAAAAGCUGAGUCAAUGCACUUCUGUAGUUCUAAAGACAAAAAUCCAAUCACUGUAGCAAUUAGUUAUUUUGGAGUAAUACAAGAAAUAUGGGAGGUGGAUUAUGUCAGGUUUAGAGUCUCUGUUUUCAAGUGUAAAUGGGUUGAUAUAAAUUCUGGAAUCAUUACAGAUGGAUCUAGUUUCACAUUGGUAGAUCUAACAAAGAUGAGUUUCAUUGAUGAACCAUUUAUUAUGGCAAGUCAAGCAAGGAAAAUAUUCUACGUCAGCGAUCCAACGAAUGAAAAAUGGUCAGUGGUUUUGGAAGGGAAAAACAUGCACGGUUUUGAUGAUGAAGAAUCUCUUGAUAUUCUUAAGACAACAUGUAGCACUUCAAGACCCAUUGAAGACUCUAUUGAUGACGUUGCCGAUGACAUACAUGCAAUUCGUAGUGAUCAUGAUGAAGGUUUCUGGGAGAAAACAAUAUCUUAAUAAGUAACAUCUUUAUUUUUGUUUAGACUUUAUAUGAAUUUUUAUUUUGAUGAAUAUUUCAAUUUCAAUUCAUACUAACCUUGUAUAUAUUUUUCAGGUAUGUUGACCUCAGACUCAGCAUCAGCACACAACAGAUGUACACGAAGAGCGACACGUUUUCCAGAAGCGGCAUCCGGACAGGUUCCUGGGCAGAGGAUACAUGUUCAUCUUAACCCAAGAACCAGUGUGGCGGAAAAUCUUAACAGAGAUAUGUAAGAUGUGGAGAGAUUUCAAAGGCUAACACGUCUGUAUGUAUUUUGAGACAGACAACAUGAGAAUCCAUCUAAGGAAUAUUCAUUCACAGAAGAAGAAUGGAUUCAGUUUCGUAAAACUAGAGAAACUGAGGAAUGGAAGGUAUUUAUCUUAACCAACAACGUCUUAAAAGCAGUUUUUAUUAUUAUAUAGUUAUGCAUAAAAAUUGUUUUACAGGGUAAAAGGUUAUCCGCCCAAGAAAGGCAAAGGCUAAAUGAUACACCACACGUGUUAUCACGAGGUGGUUAUGCGAAACUGGAGGAGAAACUUAAGAAGAGUCGAACAGAUGAGUUGGGGCUUGAGUCCCCGAACCUAGCACCUCCACCUACAAGGUACGAGAUGUGGAAGGCUACUCAAACGAAAUCUGAUGGGAACAUGACAUCUGCCUCAGCCAUAGCGAUCUCACAGAGAAUUGUAAGUUCAAAUUUUAAACAUUACUUUUUGUAUUUUAUUCAUAUCUUGCAAUUUAAGUAACGUAACAUUUUUAAUGUGCAGGAUGAGUUGGUUGAGCAGCAGACGCAGGGAACAUUUACUCCCCAAGGUAGGGAGGACAUAUUAACAACGACCAUUGGAAAAUCGGAGCACCCAGGAUGUGUACGUGCAGUUCUUGGGUCCAUUGGUCUUCGUGAGUACUUUGGCCCUAUUAAAAAAACAACUCAAACACCAUAACCAACGAAUCAGGAAGCAUUGAGGCAAAUGGAUCUUCAGUGGGAAGAAAUAUUUCGUCAAAUGGAGCAGCGAUUCAAUGAGCAAAUACAAGAAUAAAAACAAAUACAAAGAGCGCUUGAAGAGAAGUUGCAAUCCAUGAUGCAGGGUACCCUGCGUGUGCCAACUGAAACUUCCACACCCCUUCGUACCAGCACCAAAGGAUCCUGCUCUGCUGUUGAACCUACUGACUACAGUGGUUAGUAUGACUUGUUGGUUGAAGGGGAUCCCGCACACAUUGUGGCUGUUGGACGAGUAGUUGAGGGAGGAGUCACUAUUCAUGGUGUUCCCAUAGCGCCCUAGCACGUGCGUGUCAUGAUUGACGAGGUUCGGAAUCCCCAGGCUCAAUUGCCUGUACCCACUCCAGAAGUUCAAUUUGUGGAAGAGGCCGUAGGAACUUUUUUAUCUUGGCCUAGAGCAUUGGUUGUCACACACAUUGGGACACAACAGGUAUAAUAUUUGUAUCAUUGGCUAUUUUAUAUUAUAGUUUCAAAAUAUUUGUUAAUAACUUUGAAAAUGUUAUCUUCAGUUCACACGUCCUCAAAAGCAGCCGAUGAAUGAGGUACCAAUACCUGAAUAUGAUGAUGGUGAUGACAUGGCUGAAGCGGAGGAUGAUCCCAUAUCAAAACUAAUGGCAAGAUGUCCCAGGUUUACCAAAGGAUCAGUAGAAAUAUACUGGGAUUUAAGAGUAUUUGGUCUCUGCCCCCCACUUGCCAGUAUAUAUCACAUUCAAUGAUGUAUCGAAGAUCAUUUCAGGAGACAAGUGAUUGAAUAUUUCCAUUAUUCAACUUUAGUGCAUGUAAGACAAUUAAUUUUGUGUACCAUAUUAUUUUAAUUUAGAUGCGUACUUUGUAAUAAGUUAACUUUGUUGUUAUAGGUACAUGGACACAAUCAUUGUAGAUCAAGGUCGGUCUUCCGUUUACGGAUUUGUUGAGCCUCAGACCAUCUAACGUUGUGGUAACACAGAUGAAGUGAAACAAAAUUAUUUGGAAACAUGGAUGGCUGAGUCAAACAGAGACAUAUACCUUGUGCCAUACAUUGACGGGUAUGCCUUCUUUUAUGUAAAAGGUAAUUAAAGUUUACUUAAUUAGUUUACUAACUAUUUAUGAUGUUCAAAACAGGGCUCACUGGCAACUGGUAGUCCUCAUUCCCAAAAAAAAUAUAGUUGUCUUCUUAUGUUCGCUGCAUAAGAAGAUGAAAGAUGACUUGAGAGUCCUGCUUCAAGGGUAAGUAUUUCGCUAAAAAUGACUUUUAAUUUCAUGUCGGCCUUAAAUUUUAAUGAUUUCAUAAUACUUAAAUUAAUAUUACUUUCUGUUUUAAUGUAAAUAGAGUAAUGGGUACAUCUUGAGGUCAGCUAAAUAAAGUAUUGUAUCCCAAGGUUUGGUGCAUUUAUAGUUUUAAUUCAUUUACUUUGUUUUUCAAUGAUCUUAAUUCUUGACUAUAUUUACUUUGUCAUUUUAGUGUAACAAACAACUUGAUUCAUGGGAAUGUGGGUACUAUGUGAUGUGUUGGAUUAAGACCAUCAUUCGAGCUGGCAUUACAGAUAAGUGGAAUGAGGUAAUAAUCAGGCUUACUUUGAAAACAUCAAAAUAUCAAUUAAUUCUUUUCAACAUAUAUCAAACCAUAAUAAAUAUUUUUUAAUUGUGCAGAACUUCAACAAUUCA
rnacentral:lncRNA from 1 species